rnacentral:rRNA from 1 species
UGGGGAAUAUUGGACAAUGGGCGCAAGCCUGAUCCAGCCAUGCCGCGUGAGUGAUGAAGGCCCUAGGGUUGUAAAGCUCUUUCACCGGUGAAGAUAAUGACGGUAACCGGAGAAGAAGCCCCGGCUAACUUCGUGCCAGCAGCCGCGGUAAUACGAAGGGGGCUAGCGUUGUUCGGAUUUACUGGGCGUAAAGCGCACGUAGGCGGACUUUUAAGUCAGGGGUGAAAUCCCGGGGCUCAACCCCGGAACUGCCUUUGAUACUGGAAGUCUUGAGUAUGGUAGAGGUGAGUGGAAUUCAGAGUGUAGAGGUGAAAUUCGUAGAUAUUCGGAGGAACACCAGUGGCGAAGGCGGCUCACUGGACCAUUACUGACGCUGAGGUGCGAAAGCGUGGGGAGCAAACAGG